rnacentral:misc_RNA from 1 species
GUUCAGUGCUCACCCACCCUACCAAAUUUUUUAAUCAAAGAUAACAACUAUCCCUAUACCCAAUAUCUCAUCCACAAUGGAACAAAUUUGCAUUUAAAUUUAUUCAGUGCAUCCAUUUGUAUGUACUAUAGAUACAUUCUGAUCAUUAAUUAUAAUUGAACUCAUAUGAAAUCCAUCAUAAUCAAUAAUCAUAAUACAAUCGUUGCACAUAUAACUGUUGUAUUUUAAUUUUUUUUUUCCGUUAUGUUUUUGUCUGAUCUGGAUUGCCUUCAACAAUUUUCUUCCUUUUUUUUUUGGCAUCCUUUGUGAG